GUUUCAUAUGGCUAAUGCCAUGCAACGCUUACGUAAUAACACUCAUGGUAGCCGUUAUUUGAGUCACGACACCCCGGAAUGCGUUGCCCCUUCGGGGUUCAGCAGUCGCUCAUGGGGGAAACCCCCAAGACCGCGCUGCUUCACUAGUUCCCUGCUCUGUCGCUUGUGAUUAAACAGUUCUAAGGUCACUGGAACAGUGUUGCAAUCUCAAGCAAGCUCUUAUAACAGGUCGUUCGCGCAGCGUGCCGUAGGCAUCAGCUAACAUUACCCCAGAAAUGGG
rnacentral:sRNA from 1 species